rnacentral:rRNA from 1 species
AGCGAACGCUGGCGGCAGGCUUAACACAUGCAAGUCGAACGCGCUCUUCGGAGCGAGUGGCAGACGGGUGAGUAACGCGUGGGAACGUGCCCUCCGGUUCGGGAUAACCCAGGGAAACUUGGGCUAAUACCGGAUACGUGCUUAUGGCAGAAAGGUUUACUGCCGGAGGAUCGGCCCGCGUCUGAUUAGCUAGUUGGUGGGGUAACGGCCUACCAAGGCUGCGAUCAGUAGCUGGUCUGAGAGGAUGAUCAGCCACACUGGGACUGAGACACGGCCCAGACUCCUACGGGAGGCAGCAGUGGGGAAUAUUGGACAAUGGGCGCAAGCCUGAUCCAGCCAUGCCGCGUGAGUGAUGAAGGCCUUAGGGUUGUAAAGCUCUUUUACCCGGGACGAUAAUGACGGUACCGGGAGAAUAAGCCCCGGCUAACUUCGUGCCAGCCGCCGCCGUAA